GGCCAGGAACCAGCCCUGGCAGAAGUGUUCCACCAGUUGCACGAUCCUCACCGCAACAUUCCUUAUCCAAUCCCUUACCGUGACGAGUAGCACAGCCCCUCUAUGGUUUAGAUGGCAGUGCUGCAAAGGAGGCAACAGAGGAGCAGUCUGCUCUGCCAAUCCUCACGUCAGUGAUGCUAGCAAAACCUCGGCUUGACACAGAGCAGCUGGCGUAAAGGAGAGCUGGCCUCUGCUUCACUUUUGUUUCAGCCAACUGUGAUUUGAGACGGCAGAUUGAUGAACAGCAAAAGAUGCUAGAGAAAUACAAGGAACAAUUAAAUAGAUGUGUGACAAUGAGCAAGAAACUCCUUAUAGAAAAGAUGAUGAUUAUUCCCCACCUUCUAAGAGACAAAGACCAACGAGCCACCACAGCCACCGGUCCCAGAACCCGCCAAUGCUGGGGAACGGAAAAUGAGGGAGUUCAACUCUGGCCCUCACAAUCCAGUGGAGGAGACGAAACUCAGCUGCCUCUGUCCCUCUGGGCACGCCUCAUGCCAGGUGCAUCUGUGGACAGGGGCCAUGCUCCUGGGCUUCCAAAGUUGGAGAAAGCUGCCAGGCUCAGGUCUGAAGGCCAGAAUUCUACAGUAAGUCCUACUCAGUCAAGGUGGGAGCAGGGUCAGUGGCUUCCGAGGCUCUGCGGGAGAAUCCGUUUCCUGGCCGUGGAGGUGGCCUGCACUCCUCAGCUUGUGCUGCCCGUCUCGAAUGACUGGAGUUUCCUGCUUCUGUCACUACACCUCCCACCCUCUCCAUCACCUGCUCUGCUCUUAUAAGGAUCCGAAGAAAUGGAAUAAUCGUAUCGCUGAUCUACGUAAACAAAUUGAAGAAUUGUCUGAAAGAAAAUAUGUUAUGUCUAAACUGGAAAAGUCCUGUAAUCUUAUGUUCAUGGGCUUUUACACAAUGGAGUUACUGUUCAUCAUGGGGGUACCGUGGACAAGCCCAGAGCUGCCGGCGAGUCAUGCCAUCCUUACACGUUUCUCCUUGGAAGGUGCUUUGUAGUGUCUACA
rnacentral:lncRNA from 1 species